AAUGUGAAAUAAGAUUAAAAUCAUCACGCAAUUUUAGUUUACUUGAUGUAAACGAAUCUUACAAGUAUUUAUGUGGAACAUGCCUGGAAAAUAGUAUACCCAUAAUUGUUUUCUAAUAAUUAACAAUUAUUUUAAGUCAAUUGACAUUCUAUAAUUGAUCGUAAGUGGUUAUGUAAGGUGGAUUAGGAAAAUAAUCUAAUUACAUGUGAAAAAGAGACCAUUGAGAUCAAGAGACCAAAAAAGAGUUCAUUGAUUAUCACGAUACUAACCGCGUCCCAGAAAGUGAGGAACUUGAAUUUCCCGCCAUAGCUGUUGUGCAUUUUGAGAAGAUUCGGAGGGA